GAUGAACGCUGGCGGCGUGCCUAAUACAUGCAAGUCGAGCGAACAGACGGGGAGCUUGCUCCUCUGACGUUAGCGGCGGACGGGUGAGUAACACGUGGAUAACCUACCUAUAAGACUGGGAUAACUUCGGGAAACCGGAGCUAAUACCGGAUAAUAUAUUGAACCGCAUGGUUCAAUAGUGAAAGACGGUUUUGCUGUCACUUAUAGAUGGAUCCGCGCCGCAUUAGCUAGUUGGUAAGGUAACGGCUUACCAAGGCAACGAAGCGUAGCCGACCUGAGAGGGUGAUCGGCCACACUGGAACUGAGACACGGUCCAGACUCCUACGGGAGGCAGCGGUAGGGAAUCUUCCGCAAUGGGCGAAAGCUUGACGGAGCAACGCCGCGUGAUUGAUGAAGGUCUUCGGAUCUUAAAACUCUGUUAUUAGGGAAGAACAAAUGUGUAAUUAACUAUUCACGUCUUGACGGUACCUAAUCAGAAAGCCACGGCUAACUACGUG
rnacentral:rRNA from 1 species